rnacentral:rRNA from 1 species
CAAAAACAUCUUUUCUUGUUAGUUUUUGAAGUAUGGCCUGCCCGCUGACAUUUGGUGUUGAAGGGCCGCGGUAUUUUGACCGUGCAAAGGUAGCAUAAUCAUUAGUUCUUUAAUUGUGAUCUGGAAUGAAUGGCUUGACGAGGCACGGGCUGUCUUAGUGUUGAAUGUUUUAUUGAAUUUGGUCUUUGAGUUAAAAUUCUUAGAUGUUUUUGUGGGACGAGAAGACCCUAUAGAGUUUGACAUUUGGUUUAUUUACUUGUUUGUUGUUUGUUUAUUUUUGGUGAGUGGGCUUUUUGUUUUGUUGGGGUGAUGGGAGGAAUGUACUUAACUCCUCUUAGUUUUGGUUAUAUUGAUUUAUAAUUGUUUGAUCCAUUUAUUUUGAUUGUAAGACUAAAUUACCUUAGGGAUAACAGCGUUAUCUUCCUUGAGAGUUCUUAUCGGCAGGGGGGUUUGCGACCUCGAUGUUGGAUUAAGGUGAAUUUUUGGUGUAGGGGCUGAAAAU